rnacentral:rRNA from 1 species
UAGGGAAUCUUCGGCAAUGGGGGGAACCCUGACCGAGCAACGCCGCGUGAGUGAAGAAGGUUUUCGGAUCGUAAAGCUCUGUUGUUAAGGAAGAACGAGUGUGAGAAUGGAAAGUUCAUACUGUGACGGUACUUAACCAGAAAGGGACGGCUAACUACGUGCCAGCAGCCGCGGUAAUACGUAGGUCCCGAGCGUUGUCCGGAUUUAUUGGGCGUAAAGCGAGCGCAGGCGGUUAGAUAAGUCUGAAGUUAAAGGCAGUGGCUCAACCAUUGUAGGCUUUGGAAACUGUUUAACUUGAGUGCAGAAGGGGAGAGUGGAAUUCCAUGUGUAGCGGUGAAAUGCGUGGAUAUAUGGAGGAACACCGGUGGCGAAAGCGGCUCUCUGGUCUGUAACUGACGCUGAGGCUCGAAAGCGUAGGGAGCGAACAGG